CCCCAUCGGGGAGGCGCUUCCAACGCGACCCC
rnacentral:rRNA from 1 species